AUGAAAUUGGGAACGCGAGUGGAAGUCAGCAAGGGUAAACAUCUGACCCAACAGUUCAUUCAGGGUUGUAAACAGAAAGGACUUCACAGCUCAGACGGGUAACAUAACACUGGAUUCCAGUCAGCUGUUCAAGAUUGGCGAAAUAACUGACUGCUGUGCUCAGAUCCUGAAUAAACACAUUCAUGCAGGAUUCAGUUGCCGACCUUUGCUCAACAGAAAACGUACCAUGAUUUCAAAGAAUAAGGUUUCAGACGCAAUAAACAACGUUAAAGGAAACAUGGCUCUUGUUAAAGAAAAUGCUGUUUCAGGCUAAAAUCCCGGUGAUCAUAAAAGAUAUAUGGUGCAAUAAACAAAAUGAACCACAGGCAGACACGUCCAUUCGAUGACUAACCACUGAUUGAAUUUUCCGACACUCCUGGACUUUCUGAGAGAUAAACAAUUCACAAAAGGUCCAUGUUGAACAUAAGGCUGUCAUUUCUUUUUUAUGUUUCUAGUGAGGUCCAAGAACAUUAGAGGAUUCCCCCCCCAUCUUCUUUUCUUUUCUUUUUUUUUUCCCUUUUGG
rnacentral:lncRNA from 1 species